CUAAGACCGACUGGUUGAGCAGCAGUUUAGUCAACUCCAUGUAGUAUGGACAGGGAGCAGGUGUGAAGGUGGCCGCAUUUCUCUCAAGCUCUCGCAUCUCCUCAAGUUUCUCUGCAACGUCAAGGCAUAAUGGGAAAGUCACAAGAGCAUGUUGAGGGCAAGCCACACGGGGACAUUCAGCGGCAGACCGGGAUUGAAAGGUCCCAGGUCCCCCUGCAAAGAUCAACGCACUCUGUCUGUUGGCGAGAAGCUACUCGACGCAAUCGUUUUGGUUGAAUCCAACUGGUAAUAGCCUAAUCGUGAUUGAUUGACAGAGGUACUCACCCCGAUCAAAUAUAAUUUGUCGAGAUUGAAAUUUGGGAUUAUCUUCACCAACUCUUUCUCGGCGAGGAACUCGACCUCCGAAGGGUCCAUAGUUGACUGUUUAGACAGAGAAGAAAUGCAUCCGAAAACUUUGAUAGCUUAUCGUUGCUAGCAUCAACUUUCCCGCGCUGGCUGGAGACUUUCAGCAAACAGGAACUGUACCAGGAGAUAGAGAGCCGCGAUUGGCUAAACGAUACGACAAAGUGAUGACGUCCUAACCUUUCGUCGAACGGGUGGGUGGGCCAUGUGGUGGUGAGAUAUCGUCGUUGGUGAUAUAUCGAACGUUGUUGUCACCUCCACAUUGGAUGUGGCAAAAUUCUAACAGAACUUAAAAUAUAUCUAUAUCAUUGGCUGCGUUUGUAGCUCAUACAGCGAUCCCCUGACUUACCGAGUGAAGCAUUGAAAUGUCACUAAUGUGUUUAAACUGGCAAAAAUGAUCACAAUUGUUAUAUGCGUAUGAAUUUAUGCAUGUGCGUGUGUAAAUGGGGGGCAUUGAUCAACUGUGCAUCUUGUCAAUUGACCCUAUACAAAUUGGUCAGUUUGCUCUUAAAGGCAGAUCCGACACAUGCAAUAUGUUAGAUAAAAUGACGUAUCGUUCGAGACCGUGUCUACAGUCACCGACACAUGUCUAUGGGUGGACUAGUAAAAGGCGAAAUGAGAAUGCGUCGUGUCAGACAUGAGAAAACACCACGAGAUGUCAGCGUUGAGUAAGAUAUGUGGUGACAUGGCAUUGUGAAUUGAUCUAUGGUCAAAUCAAGUCAAGUCAUCUUUAUUGUCAAAUAUGCUCUAUGUGCAACAUACAGCACAGAUGAAAUUUCUUUCCUCUCAACCACAGCAGAGAGAGGAGCCGCUGUGGGUACCCGCACCGCCAUCAACAGAACAGUUAACAUAAAAUAAGUACUUCUCAAUACAGUAUCACUUUUGUAACGAAAUUGAUUGACUUAUUAAUGGAAUGUACCGUUGCUUACACUGUUUUUAUUUCCACUUUUUUAGCAACCAACUGUAUUCAUUGAAAUUAGAUUCUUCUACGGAAACGUUUGUACUUUUUAAUUAACCCAUGAUAAAUCAAAGAAAUAAUUGUGUUUUUCGCUCCAACCACCCCCCGCUACUUACCAAAAGAUAUAUAUUAUGAAGUACAAAAUAAAUUAAAUAAUAGUAUUUAUGUGUAUGAUACUAAUGGGUGGGGAGUGGGUGAUUGUUUAUACAACUCAUUAGCUUUAAUAAAUGAUAAAUGUAAAACUUCAAUACUGUAUUUAAAAACAUUUUUAUGUACUGUAUUACAAAGGGCUGUUUGAAUUUGAACAUUUUGAUCAACUCAAUGGCAAGUGGCUUACCAUUCCCUAUUUUACCACCCAAAAUGUUGAAAGUUAAAUGAGUGCCAUUCGUUGUUUAAUCAGCAGAAAUCAAAGCAAAACACAAAAUCUUAAUUCAUAUUCCCCUGAAUGUGAUUUAGUUGAAUAUCUUCCCAAUGAUAGUGCAUUGCUAGACAAGUACCUUGAGUGUUACAGAGACCAUUCAGUUGAAAAUAAUCUGUAAAAAUGCCAUGAUCGUACGUGGCUGGUUACAGGCUAUAGCUAACAGAGUCCAUAUUCACAAAUACAAGUGUUGCACUGUAUGUUUACAUUCAUAAAGUACAAUGUCUUCUGAUUUUUAGAUGGAAGAAUUACAACAGCUCUAUUGAGCAAACAUACAGUACAUAAAACAAAGCAAUACAUCUCUGUGAUCUUGAGAGGAGUUUGAAUAACUUCAAAAUAUCAGUCUGUCAUUGCUGGUGCAUAUACAAAAGAAUACAGUACAGUAAUUUUAAAACAAUGUGUGUUUUGGAUGCGUCAAAACAAUGCAACAAAAUGUUACAGGUAAUUAUAUAUUAGUGGAAGUAAAAUAAUAUCCUACAAGUUUAAAUCUUUUACAGUUGUGCCUUGAAAGACGAGAGAUUCGACGACUUUUUUUUGCUAAAACUAUAUAAAUCGGCAUGUAUUUUAUUGUAUUGUAAGACUUGCAAGUGCUUUAUGAUGGCAGUGAACCGAUUUCAGCUCA